rnacentral:rRNA from 1 species
GAGAAGCUUGCUUCUCUUGAGAGCGGCGGACGGGUGAGUAAAGCCUAGGAAUCUGCCUGGUAGUGGGGGAUAACGUUCGGAAACGGACGCUAAUACCGCAUACGUCCUACGGGAGAAAGCAGGGGACCUUCGGGCCUUGCGCUAUCAGAUGAGCCUAGGUCGGAUUAGCUAGUUGGUGAGGUAAUGGCUCACCAAGGCGACGAUCCGUAACUGGUCUGAGAGGAUGAUCAGUCACACUGGAACUGAGACACGGUCCAGACUCCUACGGGAGGCAGCAGUGGGGAAUAUUGGACAAUGGGCGAAAGCCUGAUCCAGCCAUGCCGCGUGUGCGAAGAAGGUCUUCGGAUUGUAAAGCACUUUAAGUUGGGAGGAAGGGCAUUAACCUAAUACGUUAGUGUUUUGACGUUACCGACAGAAUAAGCACCGGCUAACUCUGUGCCAGCAGCCGCGGUAAUACAGAGGGUGCAAGCGUUAAUCGGAAUUACUGGGCGUAAAGCGCGCGUAGGUGGUUUGUUAAGUUGGAUGUGAAAUCCCCGGGCUCAACCUGGGAACUGCAUUCAAAACUGACUGACUAGAGUAUGGUAGAGGGUGGUGGAAUUUCCUGUGUAGCGGUGAAAUGCGUAGAUAUAGGAAGGAACACCAGUGGCGAAGGCGACCACCUGGACUAAUACUGACACUGAGGUGCGAAAGCGUGGGGAGCAAACAGGAUUAGAUACCCUGGUAGUCCACGCCGUAACGAUGUCAACUAGCCGUUGGGAGCCUUGAGCUCUUAGUGGCGCAGCUAACGCAUUAAGUUGACCGCCUGGGGAGUACGGCCGCAAGG